rnacentral:rRNA from 1 species
AGAGUUUGAUCAUGGCUCAGAUUGAACGCUGGCGGCAUGCUUUACACAUGCAAGUCGAGCGGCAGCGCGGGGGCAACCCUGGCGGCGAGCGGCGAACGGGUGAGUAAUACAUCGGAACGUGUCCCGUAGUGGGGGAUAGCUCGGCGAAAGCCGGAUUAAUACCGCAUAUGCUCUACGGAGGAAAGUGGGGGAUCCGCAAGGACCUCACGCUAUGGGAGCGGCCGAUGUCCGAUUAGCUUGUUGGUGAGGUAAAGGCUUACCAAGGCGACGAUCGGUAGCUGGUCUGAGAGGAUGAUCAGCCACACUGGGACUGAGACACGGCCCAGACUCCUACGGGAGGCAGCAGUGGGGAAUUUUGGACAAUGGGGGGAAACCCUGAUCCAGCCAUGCCGCGUGCGGGAAGAAGGCCUUCGGGGUUGUAAACCGCUUUUGUCCGGGAAGAAAUGACAUUCCCUAAUACGGGGUGUUCUUGACGGUACUGGAAGAAUAAGCACCGGCUAACUACGUGCCAGCAGCCGCGGUAAUACGUAGGGUGCGAGCGUUAAUCGGAAUUACUGGGCGUAAAGCGUGCGCAGGUGGUUCGUCAAGUCUGAUGUGAAAGCCCCGGGCUCAACCUGGGAAUGGCAUUGGAAACUAGCGAGCUUGAGUGUGGCAGAGGGGGGUGGAAUUCCACGUGUAGCAGUGAAAUGCGUAGAGAUGUGGAGGAACACCGAUGGCGAAGGCAGCCCCCUGGGCUAACACUGACGCUCAUGCACGAAAGCGUGGGGAGCAAACAGGAUUAGAUACCCUAGUAGUCC